rnacentral:rRNA from 1 species
GGGUCAGGAGGUUGGUCGUGCCACCGGUACGUACUGGUCUCACUGAUUCCUCCUUCCUGAAGAACCUUAAUGCCAUUAAUUUGGUGUUGCGGGGAAACAGGACUGUUACUUUGAAAAAAUUAGAGUGUUUAAAGCAAGCUAACGCUUGAAUACAUUAGCAUGGAAUAAUGAAAUAGGACGAUCGAUCCUAUUUUGUUGGUUUCUAGGAUUGACGUA